AUAAUUAUUAAGAUGAUGAGUUCAUAGUUCAACAGAAAUCCUUUGAUGACAUACUUUUAUGUCUUUCGCUCCUAACUGAGAUACUAUU
rnacentral:snoRNA from 1 species